rnacentral:lncRNA from 1 species
UGUGUUGAGGGUCUGUUUUGUUUCAAGGACCCUUCUCAGUGCUACAGGUACAGCAAGAAACAAAAAGUCUCAGGAAGUUUACAACCUAGUGGAGAAGACUAGACAAUAAACAAAUAAAAAUGCAAUGUAAUUUCAAGCAGUUGUAAAUAUUUUGAAAGUAAAUAAAGGAAGGUAAAGGAGUUGAAAGUCAUGAGGUGUGUUUAAAAUAGAGUUAGGAAAGCUCUAUUAAGAAAGUUACAUUUGAGCAGAGAUAUCAGUGAAAUGAAAAGGGGGGAGACACAUCCAGAGAGUCAACACAAGCUUGAAAGUUCCAUGAGGAUAGGGAUUAUGCCUGCUGCAUUCACCAUGGCAUUCCUUAUGCCUAGCCCAGGGCAUGGCCCAGGGCAGAGCCACAAUACAUUUCUGAUGAACAAGUAAGUUCAGUCUGCAUUUGAGUUUUCUCAUUAAGUGGGAAGUAAACAAUAUAGGUUAUUAUUGAGCAAAAUCAAGGAUGAUAUUGGGAGCUCGAAUUUGCUGGAACAUCAUCUCAAGAUCAGUUCCAUGGUCCUUCUUUCUAUUCAUGCUCUUUGAAGUAUGAUGUCUGAUGUUUCAGUAGCAGAAUAUUAAACCUUUGUUUUUAGGUCUGUGUUCUGGUUCAGGUUAGGGUUUGAGUUCAUUUUUUGAAAUAGCCACCUAGAGAUUUCAAACCAUGAAAUCAGAGAAUCUCACGAGCAAGUGGACAUUGUUUGCCCUACUUCUUAAUGUCUUAUGCCCUCUGGUGGUAAAAUCAGGUGACCUCCUAUAUUUUUCUUUGAAUUCUCCAAAGCAAAAUAUUUCAUUAAAAUAAAACAAGACGGGUCUCUCCCUUUCUCUGCCAUUGUGGUGUAUGCGGUUGACUCCAUUCCUCACUAUGUCUGCUCGCAAGGUUUUCAGUAUCAAGCGAUUUCUGGCCAAGAAACAAAAGCAAAAUCAUCCCAUUCCCUAGUGGAAUCAGAUGAAAACUGGUAAUAAGAGCACCUACGACUCCAAGAGGAGACAUUGGAGAAGACUCAGCUGGGUCUGUAAGGACUUGCACAUGAGAUGGCACUCAGAUUCAUGCUGUACUGGGGUCACUGGCAUCUUACCAUAUCAACUUGGAAACGUUGCCACUAUCUGUACUGUGGGACAUGUUUUAAUGAAAAAAUGUUUUAUCUUUGUUUCUGUGCCCUGCACUAGGUUGGUUCAGUAACAAGUAUGUGAGGACUUUUGUUUGAAAAAAAAGUUAAGACAGCAUUCAUCAUGAUUAGCAAGUUAUUGAAAAUGUAUAUAUACACACACAUAUGUAUACAUUAUAUGUGUGUUUGUAUGUAUGUGCAAGUAUAUAUGUGUGUGUAUGUGUGUGCUCUGGUUUGACACUAGGAGUGUGAGGUAACUAUUGAGUAGUGAUGAGUCUUGUGGUCUAUAAAAUAGGCCUAUCCUUUAUAGAGUAAGGAUGCCAGGCCUUUAUACCUAGGCUUUUUGAAUAGAAAUGAAGUUCUCUAAAUCUGUUGCCUAGAAAAACAUAUAUCUGUACAUAAAAUUCGACUCUAAGAUGCUCAAAUUCACUGAGGUAAAAUUAUAACUAGGAUUAAUUUAUAAAAAAAUUACUUCAUUACCCAGGUCAUAUCCUCUGAAAAUAUGAACAAUAGCAGAAAAAAAUAAAACAAUGGGUCAGAGCAAAGGAACAUAUUGAUCUGGGGGAGAAUUUAUGGAAUAAAUAUGUUUUUCCAUGUGUAUUUUUUAAGAAAGUAUUUAACUUUUUUUUUUAAGAGACAAGGCCUUGUUCCGUGGCCUAGUCUGGAGUGCGUUAGUGCAAUCACAGCUCACUGCAGUCUGAAACUCCUGGGCUCAAGCAAUCCACCCAUCUCAGCCUUCUCAAAUCUGGGACUUACAGGUGUGCACCACGAUGCCUGGUUAGUUUUUUAUUUUUAUUUCUAUAGAGAUAGGGUCUCACUAUGUUGUCCAGGCUGGUCUUGAACUCCUGGCCUCAAGCUAUUCUCCAUCCUCUGACCUUAGCCUCCCAAAAUGCUGAGAUUACAGGCAUGAGUCACUGCAUGUGGCCAACAUUUUUAUUUUGAGAAGAAAAUAUAUUUUGAGAGGGUGUUAAGUCAUCUCUUUUAAAAUGAAGUUUUGUAAUCAUAGGUAGAAAUGUUUUUAAAUACCUUUUCUUUCUUUUUAAUAUUUUUAUUACCUUUUUAUUUUGAAAUAAUUUCAGACUAAAAAAAGUUGCCAGUACACAGAACUCCCAUAUACCUUUUACCAAACUUCUCCCAGUGUUAAUAUUUUACUUUACCACAGUAUAAUUUUCAAAAUCAAGAAACUAACAUUGAUAUUAUGCUAUUAACUAACCCCAGACCUUAUUCAACAUUUGCCAAUUAUCACAUUAAUGCCUAUUUUAUAGCCAAGAUCCAGAUUAUGAUUAAGGUAAUAAUGAUUAAAUUCAGCUUAUACAUAUUUAGUAAGACUACCACAGAAGCGAUAUUGUGGGCUUCUCAGUACAUAUAUCAUGGGUCCUUUUUGUUGAAUACUUCUUAUUAUU